UUUCUUAGACAGAGGGGUUACAGACAUCGGACUGAAGCUGCGUGCUCUCCGUCAGGCGUUCUCUACUCUGCUUGCCAGCAUCCACAACCAGAACUUUCUGUUUGUGGUUGGAAAGAUCGUGGUGCGUCUGGCAAGAGCUAACAACCAGUCUUUGGUUCAAUUCCUGAGAAAGUCGUCCUAUCAGGAGUCAAUUAUGACAAAGCUCUUUGGGGCCCAGCUCCACCAUUAGAACUUCCUGGAUGUGUUUUAUGAGCUGCUUCUUUUCGGCUACUUCGGGAACAGCUCAACACCUGAGGCAUUUGAGGGAGGAUUCUUGGAGCGCCUGUUUGCUCUCUUCAGCAUGUGGGACGUGG